rnacentral:rRNA from 1 species
GAUGAACGCUGGCGGCGUGCCUAAUACAUGCAAGUCGAGCGAACGGACGAGAAGCUUGCUUCUCUGAUGUUAGCGGCGGACGGGUGAGUAACACGUGGAUAACCUACCUAUAAGACUGGGAUAACUUCGGGAAACCGGAGCUAAUACCGGAUAAUAUUUUGAACCGCAUGGUUCAAAAGUGAAAGACGGUCUUGCUGUCACUUAUAGAUGGAUCCACGCUGCAUUAGCUGGUUGGUAAGGUAACGGCUUACCAAGGCAACGAUGCAUAGCCGACCUGAGAGGGUGAUCGGCCACACUGGAACUGAGACACGGUCCAGACUCCUACGGGAGGCAGCAGUAGGGAAUCUUCCGCAAUGGGCGAAAGCCUGACGGAGCAACGCCGCGUGAGUGAUGAAGGUCUUCGGAUCGUAAAACUCUGUUAUUAGGGAAGAACAAAUGUGUAAGUAACUAUGCACGUCUUGACGGUACCUAAUCAGAAAGCCACGGCUAACUACGUGCCAGCAGCCGCGGUAAUACGUAGGUGGCAAGCGUUAUCCGGAAUUAUUGGGCGUAAAGCGCGCGUAGGCGGUUUUUUAAGUCUGAUGUGAAAGCCCACGGCUCAACCGUGGAGGGUCAUUGGAAACUGGAAAACUUGAGUGCAGAAGAGGAAAGUGGAAUUCCAUGUGUAGCGGUGAAAUGCGCAGAGAUAUGGAGGAACACCAGUGGCGAAGGCGACUUUCUGGUCUGUAACUGACGCUGAUGUGCGAAAGCGUGGGGAUCAAACAGGAUUAGAUACCCUGGUAGUCCACGUCGUAAACGAUGAGUGCUAAGUGUUAGGGGGUUUCCGCCCCUUAGUGCUGCAGCUAACGCAUUAAGCACUCCGCCUGGGGAGUACGACCGCAAGGUUGAAACUCAAAGGAAUUGACGGGGACCCGCACAAGCGGUGGAGCAUGUGGUUUAAUUCGAAGCAACGCGAAGAACCUUACCAAAUCUUGACAUCCUCUGACCCCUCUAGAGAUAGAGUUUUCCCCUUCGGGGGACAGAGUGACAGGUGGUGCAUGGUUGUCGUCAGCUCGUGUCGUGAGAUGUUGGGUUAAGUCCCGCAACGAGCGCAACCCUUAAGCUUAGUUGCCAUCAUUAAGUUGGGCACUCUAAGUUGACUGCCGGUGACAAACCGGAGGAAGGUGGGGAUGACGUCAAAUCAUCAUGCCCCUUAUGAUUUGGGCUACACACGUGCUACAAUGGACAAUACAAAGGGUAGCGAAACCGCGAGGUCAAGCAAAUCCCAUAAAGUUGUUCUCAGUUCGGAUUGUAGUCUGCAACUCGACUACAUGAAGCUGGAAUCGCUAGUAAUCGUAGAUCAGCAUGCUACGGUGAAUACGUUCCCGGGUCU